rnacentral:rRNA from 1 species
AACGAACGCUGGCGGCAGGCUUAACACAUGCAAGUCGAGCGCCCCGCAAGGGGAGCGGCAGACGGGUGAGUAACGCGUGGGAACAUACCCUUUAGUACGGAAUAGCCUCGGGAAACUGGGAUUAAUACCGUAUACGCCUACGGGGAAGAUUAUCGCUAAAGGAUUGGCCCGCGUUGGAUUAGCUAGUUGGUGAGGUAAUGGCUCACCAAGGCGACGAUCUAUAGCUGGUCUGAGAGGAUGAUCAGCCACACUGGGACUGAGACACGGCCCAGACUCCUACGGGAGGCAGCAGUGGGGAAUAUUGGACAAUGGGCGAAAGCCUGAUCCAGCCAUGCCGCGUGAGUGAUGAAGGCCCUAGGGUUGUAAAGCUCUUUCGCUAGAGAAGAUAAUGACGGUAUCUAGUAAAGAAGCCCCGGCUAACUUCGUGCCAGCAGCGCGGUAAAGUCGUACGAU